CGACCCCUCAAGCGACCCGGCUUGGUGUUGGGGCCCCUACGUGCGCCGUAGGCCCCGAACUCUAGUGGCGGGCUCGCCGCGACCCCGAGCGUUAGUAGUGUUACCUCGCUCAGGGGGUGCGCGGCGGGCUACCGGCCGUGAAAAGGAACGACGAAAAUACA
rnacentral:misc_RNA from 1 species